CCUGACAUCACAUCAGUUCAUGCGAAUGUGGCAAGCAUUUCUCUCGGUGUCUAAACCUAACGGAGCUUCGCGAUAACGCAGAAGAAGGUUGAUAACGGAAACGCUUCACUGUCAGAUCGUCAGGAUGAGCCUUUCAUCAGUGUUUGUGUUCUUUCUUCCUUUUAUCUGUGAGGGGUUGGGAGCGCUGAUCCAAACCACUGUGGGGGCAGAUGUCGAGUUUCCGCUCUCAGAGGAGUGCAGGAAGGGAGAAGGCACGCUGUAUCAGCGGCUGGAUGAUGCCAGCACGAUCAGCUCAUCGCAUCUCUAAAUGGUUACUGGAAGCCAGGGCGAGAUUACACUGACCGUGUGGUCGUAGGACGCGAUUGUUUAAUCUUAACAAAUGCUAACUUCAAUGACAACGGACAUUAUGAGUUUACCUGCAACAGGAAACACUUGGAAGCUUACAAGCUGGAGGUAUUUGUGCCCUCUGAAGUUGCUGUAUCCGAGGGUGGGGAUGCCAUCCUCCCGUGUCGCUCUGUCACAGCGGGCCAGUCGGUGAAGUCUGCGCGCUGGAGGAGAAACGGGGAAGUACUGCUGGAGCUGAAUGGUCGGACAGGGGGAAUCACAUACGGGGAUGACUUUAACAGAAGCCGGGUAUCGAUACCAUCUGACUGGGACCGACGGGCAGACCUGUCCCUCAUCAUAAAGGGAGCUCAGCAACAAGAUGGAGGAGUUUAUUACUGUGAUGUAGAGAAGGCCGAGAAACACCGCUCUGCUGUCCGCCUGCGAGUGCGCAAACCACCGGAGUCCUUCCACUGGAUAUGGAUCACAAUCAUCAUAACAGCAGCUGUGACAUCUGUGAUUGUUUUUACUCUCAAGUUCUUUUGGGGCUGGAGAGAGAAGACCAAUGGUGUACAUGCAUGAAGAGAGCAGAGGAGACAGUGGCCGAAACAUGACCAAUCAUUUAUAAUCAGGAGGAAAGCACAUCUCUAAAAAUUGCCCUGCCAAGCCUUCUGAUGUUAUACUGCCUAUAAAAAUGAAUAGAAAUAGCUUUUUGUAGUGCAUUACUUUUAGUACCAAAGUCCAAACCCGAACCUUUAUUUCACUGUGUAAUGAAAGUCUUCAUGGCAAAAUAAACAGCAGAUAUCUGCACACUGCUAACUUACAGUGUAAAGAUAAAAGAAUACACACAUACAGAGAUUUCUUUCUGACUUUUGACUUAUUGAUUUAUUUGUGUCUUCUUCUUGGCAGCUCUUCACUUGGUACAGUUGAAGGUCUGUCCUGAGAAAAAGGUAUAGCUUGGUUAUAGCAACAGCUAAUAAUCAAUUUUUAUGAUUUCUUCAUUGAUCUGUAAGAGGCUGGAGCUUAUGGUUAAUGAAUUCAACAGUCUGGGUCGAGUAGUUGAAUUUAUUAUCAUUGUGUUGAGGACAAAAGAGUCUUCAGGCCUCCAAAAGACCUUUUAAAGGUUCCAGGUGCCACCAAGUGUGACUGAGCAGGAGACUGAAUGUGGAUAUAAAUUGUAUUUUACAUUACUGGUUGCAGGGUAAGGUUUCUAUUAUGAUUUGAUGCCAACAAGCUUAGUUUAGUUCCUUAGUUUAUUUGAUGAGGACACUCUGUGCUCAUCAAAUAAAUGAGGUUUGUGGGUCAGUUGGUUGCAGUCUAUGAGGGCUGCUAGUAAAUACGAGAGGCUGUUGCUGAAACCAUAAACCAGCAGCCAUGGUUUCAGUUUCUAGCUAAUUAAAGGUUUACAGUUUUAUGUUCCUUCAUUUGUUUGCUUUAUGGUUGUUUACAGGCCACAGUGAUAAAAUGUGAUGAGUUUGCUUGGACGAUGAACCCACUACAGUUCAACUUCAAACACCCUCAGAGUUAAAAAUGAUGUGGCCAGGAGUUCAGCCAGUCGGCAGGGGCUCAAGGGUCAACAGACAUCUAGGGUGGUCUACUCACCUGAAGUGUUAAAUGCUUCCUCAACUUUCAUCCUUGUAAAUGGACUUGUUGUUAUUCAUCCACUGAAUGAGUCAGUACUGCAGGGUCUAAUCAUAAAGUCAUCUGGGACAAGCAGACGACAUGUAUCGUCCCUGUUAUAAAAAUAUCACUAUUAUUGUCAUUGUUAUUUUAUAUUAUUGUUCUGUUUAUUUUUAUCCUGCUGCUAAACUAAUUUCCCCUCGUGGGACAAUAAAGAAUUUGAAAAAAAUAUGUGCAAUCGCACUGCUGUUAUAGAUCCUGAUUGAUGAGCGCAUAUUUUGAAUCUAGUAAUGUGGAUGUUUGAGACCGUUCUCAUUCCCGACGCUUAACAUAAUGAAGAUUUGUCACCUAGCGUAAAAAGUUACACUUUAGGCGUGAGAAGGUGUUGGUUGUUAAAGCAGCUUGUCUGGUGGUGCUCACUGGUUUCCAAAGACUUAGACUGCUCAGAAUACUUACACGGAGGGUUUCACACUUCCUCGCCUGUUAGCUUUGUGAAUUGUUGUUGUUGUUGUUGUUGUUGUGGAGUCACUGAAUUUCUUAAGGUCUUCAAGUUAGCUUUCGAUGCAGCAUACAUGCAG